rnacentral:lncRNA from 1 species
GGCAAGUCCCCUUUCAUCUUCAGGGCUUGUUUGGUUCAUCCAUUUUGGAUAUGGAAUGGGAAUCGGUUUGAUCAAAUCCGGUUAAUUUUGUUUGGUUCGCAUGAAUCGGUUUGGGAUUCUUAUUCCGGACUGGAAUGGGAAUGUCCUAUUAGCCUUCAACUUGAUUCCGGUCUUCUAGUCCGGAUUGAGAUUUCAUUCCGGAAGCCCACUAAGUUCUCGAAACCCAUGUGACCAUCUCACCCUCCUCUUCACCCCUUUCUCAUCAAAAAAAAAAAACCUAUCAUCUCUCAAAACUCUAUCCCUAACCCACAUCAAUAAAAGUUUUUAAAAAUAAAUUUGAUUUUUUUUUUUUAGAAAACUUGUUAGAGAAUAGUAUUAUAUUUUUCAUAAAUUUUAAAUAAUAUAAAUUUAUAUUUGAGAGUAAAAUUAGUAUUAUAGUAUCCUAUAAUUUUUUUAGUUUAUACGAACCAAAUAAUGAAAUGUGAAUAACUCAUUUCAAUUCCCAAUCCACAAAUAAACCAAACGUCUUGGGGGAGUGGGCCAUUCUAAUUACCAUUCCAAUUCAUUCCCAUUCCAUUAUCCAUUCCAAUUCCACCCUUGAACCAAACAAGCCCUCAAUGUUAAUGAAAGUAUGUUCUCAGG